UACGUAGGGGGCAAGCGUUGUUCGGAAUUACUGGGCGUAAAGGGCGCGUAGGCGGCACGGCAAGUCAGAAGUGAAAGGCCUGGGCUCGAACCGAGGAACUGCUUUGAGACUGCCGAGCUAGAGUGCGGGAAGGGGCGAACCGGAAUUCCCCAGUGUAGCGGUGAAAUGCGUAGAUAGUUGGGAAGAACGACCUGAGGCGAAGGCGG
rnacentral:rRNA from 1 species